rnacentral:rRNA from 1 species
UAGCGGCGGACGGGUGAGUAACACGUGGAUAACCUACCUAUAAGACUGGGAUAACUUCGGGAAACCGGAGCUAAUACCGGAUAAUAUAUUGAACCGCAUGGUUCAAUAGUGAAAGACGGUUUUGCUGUCACUUAUAGAUGGAUCCGCGCCGCAUUAGCUAGUUGGUAAGGUAACGGCUUACCAAGGCAACGAUGCGUAGCCGACCUGAGAGGGUGAUCGGCCACACUGGAACUGAGACACGGUCCAGACUCCUACGGGAGGCAGCAGUAGGGAAUCUUCCGCAAUGGGCGAAAGCUUGACGGAGCAACGCCGCGUGAGUGAUGAAGGUCUUCGGAUCGUAAAACUCUGCUAUUAGGGAAGAACAAAUGUGUAAGUAACUAUGCACGUCUUGACGGUACCUAAUCAGAAAGCCACGGCUAACUACGUGCCAGCAGCCGCGGUAAUACGUAGGUGGCAAGCGUUAUCCGGAAUUAUUGGGCGUUAAGCGCGCGUAGGCGGCUUUUUUAAGUCUGAUGUGAAAGCCCACGGCUCAACCGUGGAGGGUCAUUGGAAACUGGAAAACUGGAGUGCAGAAGAGGAAAGUGGAAUUCCAUGUGUAGCGGUGAAAUGCGCAGAGAUAUGGAGGAACACCCGUGGGGAAGGCGACUUUCUGGUCUGUAACUGACGCUGAUGUGCGAAAGCGUGGGGAUCAAACAGGAUUAGAUACCCUGGUAGUCCACGCCGUAAACGAUGAGUGCUAAGUGUUAGGGGGUUUCCGCCCCUUAGUGCUGCAGCUAACGCAUUAAGCACUCCGCCUGGGGAGUACGACCGCAAGGUUGAAACUCAAAGGAAUUGACGGGGACCCGCACAAGCGGUGGAGCAUGUGGUUUAAUUCGAAGCAACGCGAAGAACCUUACCAAAUCUUGACAUCCUCUGACCCCUCUAGAGAUAGAGGUUUCCCCUUCGGGGGACAGAGUGACAGGUGGUGCAUGGUUGUCGUCAGCUCGUGUCGUGAGAUGUUGGGUUAAGUCCCGCAACGAGCGCAACCCUUAAGCUUAGUUGCCAUCAUUAAGUUGGGCACUCUAAGUUGACUGCCGGUGACAAACCGGAGGAAGGUGGGGAUGACGUCAAAUCAUCAUGCCCCUUAUGAUUUGGGCUACACACGUGCUACAAUGGACAAUACAAAGGGCAGCGAAACCGCGAGGUCAAGCAAAUCCCAUAAAGUUGUUCUCAGUUCGGAUUGUAGUCUGCAACUCGACUAUAUGAAGCUGGAAUCGCUAGUAAUCGUAGAUCAGCAUGCUACGGUGAAUACGUUCAAGGGUCU